AAAUUGAAGAGUUUGAUCAUGGCUCAGAUUGAACGCUGGCGGCAGGCCUAACACAUGCAAGUCGAACGGUAACAGGAAGAAGCUUGCUUCUUUGCUGACGAGUGGCGGACGGGUGAGUAAUGUCUGGGAAACUGCCUGAUGGAGGGGGAUAACUACUGGAAACGGUAGCUAAUACCGCAUAACGUCGCAAGACCAAAGAGGGGGACCUUCGGGCCUCUUGCCAUCGGAUGUGCCCAGAUGGGAUUAGCUUGUUGGUGGGGUAACGGCUCACCAAGGCGACGAUCCCUAGCUGGUCUGAGAGGAUGACCAGCCACACUGGAACUGAGACACGGUCCAGACUCCUACGGGAGGCAGCAGUGGGGAAUAUUGCACAAUGGGCGCAAGCCUGAUGCAGCCAUGCCGCGUGUAUGAAGAAGGCCUUCGGGUUGUAAAGUACUUUCAGCGGGGAGGAAGGGAGUAAAGUUAAUACCUUUGCUCAUUGACGUUACCCGCAGAAGAAGCACCGGCUAACUCCGUGCCAGCAGCCGCGGUAAUACGGAGGGUGCAAGCGUUAAUCGGAAUUACUGGGCGUAAAGCGCACGCAGGCGGUUUGUUAAGUCAGAUGUGAAAUCCCCGGGCUCAACCUGGGAACUGCAUCUGAUACUGGCAAGCUUGAGUCUCGUAGAGGGGGGUAGAAUUCCAGGUGUAGCGGUGAAAUGCGUAGAGAUCUGGAGGAAUACCGGUGGCGAAGGCGGCCCCCUGGACGAAGACUGACGCUCAGGUGCGAAAGCGUGGGGAGCAAACAGGAUUAGAUACCCUGGUAGUCCACGCCGUAAACGAUGUCGACUUGGAGGUUGUGCCCUUGAGGCGUGGCUUCCGGAGCUAACGCGUUAAGUCGACCGCCUGGGGAGUACGGCCGCAAGGUUAAAACUCAAAUGAAUUGACGGGGGCCCGCACAAGCGGUGGAGCAUGUGGUUUAAUUCGAUGCAACGCGAAGAACCUUACCUGGUCUUGACAUCCACAGAACUUUCCAGAGAUGGAUUGGUGCCUUCGGGAACUGUGAGACAGGUGCUGCAUGGCUGUCGUCAGCUCGUGUUGUGAAAUGUUGGGUUAAGUCCCGCAACGAGCGCAACCCUUAUCCUUUGUUGCCAGCGGUCCGGCCGGGAACUCAAAGGAGACUGCCAGUGAUAAACUGGAGGAAGGUGGGGAUGACGUCAAGUCAUCAUGGCCCUUACGACCAGGGCUACACACGUGCUACAAUGGCGCAUACAAAGAGAAGCGACCUCGCGAGAGCAAGCGGACCUCAUAAAGUGCGUCGUAGUCCGGAUUGGAGUCUGCAACUCGACUCCAUGAAGUCGGAAUCGCUAGUAAUCGUGGAUCAGAAUGCCACGGUGAAUACGUUCCCGGGCCUUGUACACACCGCCCGUCACACCAUGGGAGUGGGUUGUAAAAGAAGUAGGUAGCUUAACCUUCGGGAGGGCGCUUACCACUUUGUGAUUCAUGACUGGGGUGAAGUCGUAACAAGGUAACCGUAGGGGAACCUGCGGUUGGAUCACCUCCUUACCUUAAAGAAGC
rnacentral:rRNA from 1 species